rnacentral:rRNA from 1 species
GACGAACGCUGGCGGCGUGCUUAACACAUGCAAGUCGUACGGUAAGGCCCUUUCGGGGGUACACGAGUGGCGAACGGGUGAGUAACACGUGAGUAACCUGCCCACAACUUUGGGAUAACGCUAGGAAACUGGUGCUAAUACUGGAUAUGUGCUCCUGCUGCAUGGUGGGGGUUGGAAAGCUCCGGCGGUUGUGGAUGGACUCGCGGCCUAUCAGCUUGUUGGUGGGGUAGUGGCCUACCAAGGCGGCGACGGGUAGCCGGCCUGAGAGGGUGACCGGCCACAUUGGGACUCAGAUACGGCCCAGACUCCUACGGGUGGCAGCAGUGGCGAAUGUUGCACAAUGGGCGCAAGCCUGAUGCAGCAACGCCGCGUGCGGGAUAACGGCCUUCGGGUUGUAAACCGCUUUCAGCAGGGACGAAGCUUUUUGUGACGGUACCUGCAGCAGAAGCCCCGGCUAACUACGUG